rnacentral:rRNA from 1 species
GUUAAGUCAGAUGUGAAAGCCCGGGGCUCAACCUCGGAAUUGCAUUUUGAAACUGGCAAACUAGAGUACUGUAGAGGGGGUAGGAAUUUCAGGUGUAGCGGUGAAAUGCGUAGAGAUCUGAAGGAAUACCGGUGGCGAAGGCGGCCCCCUGGACCAGAUACUGACACUCAGAUGCGAAAGCGUGGGGAGGCAAACAGGAUUAGAUACCCUCGGUAG